rnacentral:lncRNA from 1 species
UUUGAGGGGACAGAGUAGGAUAGGAUGUAGUUGUGUAAGGUACCACUGUAAGUGUUGAACCUGCUAGGAGUUCGAUACUCACGUGAAUGUUUGGAUGAGUUGAGUGUAUGAUGAUUUUGGUAUGUUUAUUUUAUUAUUGAGAAAUUGUUAUGCGAGAAGGAAGUAUGUUAUUAAUCUAAAUAUACCAUGUGUUUUCUAUUGCAUUAGCUCACCCUUGUUUUGUUUGUUGUUUGGUCGUUAUUGUAUGUUGUGUGUUAAAUCUCGGCGAUGAUCAUCCGGUGGGUGUGAGCAGAAGAUGAUGAAAUACCGGUGGAGCAGGCAUUAGAUGGAGAACCGACUGGAGUUUAGUUAAUAUGGAAGUGACUUUGUAUUAUAUGUUUUUAAGUAUGAAUUGUAUUAAGAUAUAUUUCCAGUAUUGAUUUGUAUAAUAAUGAGGAAAACUUUUAUUCCUCCUUUAUGACUGUUCUACCAUAUUAUUGAUGUAAGAACUCUAUUAUAGUCUGAUGCUAUAAAUAUGGGGAUGUUACAGAAAUCAUAAGUUGUUACUCUAGACAUGGCUAGAAGUAAAGUUGAA